CGAUUGGCGUAAGGGGCAGUAAUGUGUAGGUACGUACCCCUGGAUCUGGGAUAGCUGCGGGAAACUGCAAUUAAUACCAGAUAAUGUCUUCGGACCAAAGGUGUGACUCCGUCUGGGGAGCGGCCUGCAUCCUAUUAGCUAGUUGGUGUGGUAAUGGCGCACCAAGGCAAAGAUGGGU
rnacentral:rRNA from 1 species